AUUGCAUCUUUCAAAAUAAAAUUAGAACAUAAAAAAAUAUACACAAAAAUUCUGAUUCUAAACAUUACAAUUCCAAUCAACUUCUAAGUACAUAAAAGAAAAAACAAAACACAAUUGGGAUGUUAAUCUCAUAAAUUCUAGAAAUAUAAGCCCUAAAAUAUUAAAACCACCGUCAUUAAUUUGCCCCAUAUCGUAUCAGAGAUAAAGCAAUUAGGUUUCCUAAAUGUGUUUGAGGCAUGUACGCUGGUGAAUGUAGGGUGGGAAGCAUUCCUCACAAAAUCCCUUCUUCUGGCCUUGGAAUCCAUUAUUUUCUUCUUUGUCAACCCAUCAUUCUUGGAUCCUUUCUUUUGCUUGGUAAAAUUCACAAUUGCUCUAAUGAGCAACAAAUCACUAGACACCAAAUCCUUAAGAUUUCCAACACAAGGUUGCCUUCUGGGCAUGGGCUUCAACCCUUGAAGCAUUGGAAUGGCGAGGGACAACAUGGAGAUGUGGCAGAGUAGUGUUCUGUAGUCACCCUUGUUUCCUUAUCACUUGCAUUUUUUAGAAGCUUUGAUAACAGCCCGAGUGUGAGGGAAGCCAUGGAGAUGACAACUGUUUUGUUCAUUUGGGAGGGCAAGGUUAGGAAGGAUUUGAGGGAGGGGUUCUAAU
rnacentral:misc_RNA from 1 species